GUUACACUUGAGUCGACGAUUAGUGAAAUAAAGUCCUGAGUAGCUUCGCUAUCCACGACUUAAAAACACGAAAGAAGCGUAAGUAGAAGGAGAACUGAAAAGCAUUAAUUUUAGCUGAAAGGAGUGAGAAUCGGUAUUACAGGCACUGGCUCUUGUGAGGGACUACCUGAGGGCCAAGAUGAAUGCUAAAGACUAAAAGAAAUGAGAAUUUAUGAACAUGUCUUGAAGAUAACAGUAGGGAGUGCUUAUGCGCUACUUAUUUGAAACCUUCACACCCAUGGACCCGGGAAAGGUUUAUAAAAAGGAGGAGCGUCACGGUAACUCGAAGGCGGGUAUCCUGUUUACUAUUCUUCAAAAUAGCCAAUCAGAGACGUCCAAUAUACGAGAGUAUCGGGUAACGAAGAUUGCAAGAUAAUGGCGCUAGUUCAUCGCACAGGUAGCCCGGGCAAUGGUUUUGAAGUUUGUUCGUAGCUUGGAAUCGGCUGUUCUUCUUAGAGGUAAAACGAGUGGAUUGAAGUCGCGAUUUUUUGUGAAAUAUUGCCAAUAAAAUUGCCUUACAACUUA